AGGGAACCAUCCCGAAAAUCGUACUAUAAUGAUCCAAGGACAAUGCCUUGUACAUUCUUUCAGCCCUGUAGAGUCCAACUCUUUUCAUGACAUGAGGGUCUUGUGGCCGUCGUCUUCCUUCCUAUACAAAAUUCUGGUGUUGUUAUGUUUGUUUGGUAAGCUUUGCAGCCACUUGUGUUUACAUUUUGUCCAAAACUCAUGAUGACCUGAUGGUGUACCUGGAACGUUCAGUUUUAAGGAUCAAAAGACCAUCACGGCAUACUGAUAAGCAUACUGUAGCAGUUCAGGCGUGGAGUCUGAAGGUAUAGUGCAUAUCCGUGCUGAAUCAGUGAAUUUGUGCAGCGUUUUACAGUUGAGGGCAAUCCUGGAAUUGUGAAAAGCUCAACGAGGCAUGAUUGUAUUUUCGCUCCCCAACCAUUUUCUGAGCACCACUUUGUGCUAUCUGUACUCCGAGUUCUAUGAUUUUUUUUAUCUUCCCAUUACCGUCCAAUACAAAGUAGUGAAAAUUUGGUCUGAUCAAGUGAACAGUGAAUGAGGAUGUCGAUUAUGCUGGGUAUCUACUUGGUGCCC